UGGCUCAGAUGGUAAAGCAUCUGCCUGCAAUGCGGGAGACCCAGGUUCAAUCCCUGG
rfam:TPA: Bos taurus chromosome 16, whole genome shotgun sequence.